UAUUAGAAAUAUCACGAUGCCGUCUGCGAUCUCUUCAUAUUGGGCCGUUUCUUGCUCGCGCAGUUGGCACCUGGCGAACGGCGAACGGCGAACGGCGAACGGCGAACGGCGAACGGCGAACGGCGAACGGCGAAGGCGGACGGCGAUAGCACUCUUCACUCAAGAAGUCGUCUUGAUAGCAAUCCGAUAAAAAGAAGCCCUUCUUCUCCAUCUUCGUCUCUCACUUCUCCGUACCCAUUCUUUCUCCGACGACAUUUUGAAGCAUCGAGAAACCCUAGACUGAGAAACUGACGACAAAAAAUUUCCACCACCUUUCAUACUCCGCACGAGCCGCGCCGCGCCGACCCUUCUCCUCCCUCGCUCUUCUCUCUCGGGUCGGCUGCGUGGCUCCGCCUGCUUCCGCCACGCACCGCACCGUCCCACUCCUAGAGCCAGUGCCGCCGCCGCACGCAGGCAUUGUCGUCGCCUUCUGUCCCUCCAUCUCCGGCAACCCCCUUCCGCCCCUCUUUCCGGCAGCGGCCGAGCAAGAGUGAGUUCGGACCCCUUUUCACCGCAGCGAACCCCCUUAGCAGUUGUGAGAAGCCGUUGCUUCUAGCUCCUGUACCUAUUCCUGCGUCCAAAACCUUGUUGCAGUCAGUAUAAGAUUGAAUCUCGGAGCAAUCAAUACCGUUGAUUGAGCAGCCAUAUCUUGGGAAGCAAGCUGGCCAAUUGAGACAGAUUCUUACUCCCUUUUUUGGGGGCGGGCAAUCUCUCUGAGAGUUGCUCAUUGUAGUCAAUUGGAGUUUUUAACAGCCACUAUAUGUCUUUGUGCUCUUAUUUUUGGGUCAUCUUAUGUUGCCCAGGGCAUAAGGGGCAUGAUGGCGUGAUAUCUUUCUCACCAUGCUUAUUGCAGCAAGGUUCCAAACUCAGAUGGUGGCAACUAACGAGGGUUGUGGUUUGCGCAAGACUUAAUCCAGUUCCUUAUGGCAUGACCUGUUGACAUCCAUGCGCCACCUGUGCCUACGCUCUAAGGCAGUGUUUUCCACAUUAACCCAAUCCUUUUCUGCUAAGACUCCCAUAGAAAUAUGUAUGACGUGAGUAAAUCUAAAGUAACAAUGGUGUUUAUGUUAUUCAUGGCUGCAACCAAUUCUCCAUGAGGUAAAAGAUUAUAUGACUAGUUAGAAACAAAAAUAAAUAGGAAUGUAGUUCCAAUAAAGGGAACCUAAGUGCCAUGUUUUUCUCCAAUUCUGGUUUUUUUUCUCAAGUCUCGAAUAAAUUCAAGGAUAUAUUUCAAGAAAUUGGGAAUACAAGCUAGGCAUCCUUGUUCUGUGUUUGAUUGGAUUGAGUUUGGUGUUUGGAUGUGUAGAUGAGGUUGAUGAUACCAAGAUGGACAAUUUGUUGCAGUGACUAUAAGUGAAAAUUAGUGAUAUUGUAGGAAUCAUAUUAGUUGACUAUUUCCUUGGAAUAAGUGAGUGAAACUAUGAUGGGCAUCAGCAGUAAUGUUUUGAAGAUUUAAAAGAUUGAGAUGGAUUGUUGAUUGUACAAUUUUAUCUAAGAUUUGUAGAAUUCUAAGAUGUUGAUUGUGAGUCUUGGUGUGGAGAAGGUGCAAUGGGUAAAGAGAUCUUAGAAUUUAAUAGAAAUUGAUUUAGUAUUAUUGGUGUUAUAUACUGCUUCAUAGUGACAUUGGAGGAAUAAGAUCCAUUUAAUCUUUCCCUAAAUAGUUGGGAGAAACAUGGAUUGUAGAAUAGUGUAUUUUUCUGAUAUUCUAUUAUGAUAUUUCCAUGGUAGUAAUUCAUCUUUGAUAACAAUGUUCUGGUUACGGUAAUGUUCUAUUGCAGUCCUCUUCUCUGCAACAAAGGAACAUUGGAGGUGCUUAAAUCAUCUAUUUGUGGUCAUCUUUCAAUAAAUAAGUUCCUAACAAUUGAGACGAGAAUGGCUGUGUCAACAGCACAUUGUUCGCAACAUAACACAAUUGAAUAUGAGAUGGCUAUGGAAAUGGAGUCUUAGUGAAGAAUUAUGAGGCAGGAGUUUGAAAAUCUUGCACAAGGAACAAGCUGAUAAAUUGAAGUGAAGACGAGAUUCAAAGGCAGAUGAAAUGGCUAUUAAACCUCUGUCUCUUAUUCAUAUUUCCUAGUUUGGUUUUUGACUAGGUUGGGUUUUAUCAGUAUCGUGUGCUGUCCAAAAAGUUGAAGGACAUGGCUGGAGCCUAAGAGCAAGGCACACUCAAAUCAAGGAAACGAUGCUAUGCAGUAGAAAGAUGGGAAACAAAAAAGUUAACAAGAGCCCAAUAAACUAAUUGUCUAAUAUGAAAGAGUAAGACUCUUAUACACACGUCUAUGGAUGUGAGUGGGAUUCAAAAGAUUGUUAAUGGUGACACUAACACUCGUUAUACACACAGUCAUUUCGACUUCUUGGUAUUGAUGUUAACAUUUUAUAUUUUGUUGA